rnacentral:ncRNA from 1 species
UAAUUGAAGAGUUUGAUCAUGGCUCAGAUUGAACGCUGGCGGCAGGCUUAACACAUGCAAGUCGAGCGGUAGCACAGGGGAGCUUGCUCCCUGGGUGACGAGCGGCGGACGGGUGAGUAAUGUCUGGGAAACUGCCUGAUGGAGGGGGAUAACUACUGGAAACGGUAGCUAAUACCGCAUAACGUCGCAAGACCAAAGAGGGGGACCUUCGGGCCUCUUGCCAUCAGAUGUGCCCAGAUGGGAUUAGCUAGUAGGUGGG